GCUUGGGCCUGAGGGAGGGCCGGAGAACAUGUGUCGGGGUUGGCCCGACGUCUACGUCUCUGGCAUUUUUUGCAGACCAGCUGUGCUGAGUUGACUCCUGAGUGUGGACCUGGAAACUGUCCCUUGACACCACUGGAGGCCCUAUGGCCAGUUGGCUCCAGGUUGUCUCAAGAGCCCAGCGUUUUGCUGCAUUGCUAAGAUGGAGUGGGCACAGCUUCUGUCCCAGCAGGAUCCUAACAGUUCUGUUUAAAAAGGAGCUUCCCAUUGGCGAUGACGAUGGAGGUAAACCUCUUGAUGUCUUCUGGAACUAUUCGUGCAGCGGCGACAAACCUCUCCAGGUCAUCCAGGCUGUUUUGGGCUUUGUCUGUUACAAGAACUUCCAGGGACCAAUUGCAGCGGUCCAAGCUUCCCUUGGCAUCCAGCAGUGUCUGAUUCCUCUACGUGGUCAGCGGCCCUGCGGAUUCUGUGGAUGUUGGUUUCCAAGGAGUCUUUGAACCUCCAAGUCCUGCUUACAAAGAGCAGCAGGCCCGCUGCCGAGCUGGCCACUUUGUGUUGCAGAGACACUGCUGCCUCCUUUGCAAAGUCCACGUCCAUCCAUAGCUCCUUGAUGGAGUCCUCUGAGGAGGAGCCAGAGGA